rnacentral:rRNA from 1 species
ACGGUAACAGGUCUUCGGAUGCUGACGAGUGGCGAACGGGUGAGUAAUACAUCGGAACGUGCCUAGUAGUGGGGGAUAACUACUCGAAAGAGUGGCUAAUACCGCAUGAGAUCUACGGAUGAAAGCAGGGGAUCGCAAGACCUUGUGCUACUAGAGCGGCCGAUGGCAGAUUAGGUAGUUGGUGGGAUAAAAGCUUACCAAGCCGACGAUCUGUAGCUGGUCUGAGAGGACGAUCAGCCACACUGGGACUGAGACACGGCCCAGACUCCUACGGGAGGCAGCAGUGGGGAAUUUUGGACAAUGGGCGCAAGCCUGAUCCAGCAAUGCCGCGUGCAGGAUGAAGGCCUUCGGGUUGUAAACUGCUUUUGUACGGAACGAAAAGCCCUGGGUUAAUACCCUGGGGUCAUGACGGUACCGUAAGAAUAAGCACCGGCUAACUACGUGCCAGCAGCCGCGGUAAUACGUAGGGUGCGAGCGUUAAUCGGAAUUACUGGGCGUAAAGCGUGCGCAGGCGGUUUUGUAAGACAGAGGUGAAAUCCCCGGGCUCAACCUGGGAACUGCCUUUGUGACUGCAAGGCUAGAGUACGGCAGAGGGGGAUGGAAUUCCGCGUGUAGCAGUGAAAUGCGUAGAUAUGCGGAGGAACACCGAUGGCGAAGGCAAUCCCCUGGGCCUGUACUGACGCUC